AGUGGCGAACGGGUGAGUAAUAUAUCGGAAUGUACCCUAGAGUGGGGGAUAACGUAGCGAAAGUUACGCUAAUACCGCAUACGAUCUGAGGAUGAAAGUGGGGGAUGCGCAAGCACCUCAUGCUCAUGGAGCAGCCGAUAUCUGAUUAGCUAGUUGGUAGGGUAAAAGCCUACCAAGGCUACGAUCAGUAGCUGGUUUGAGAGAACGACCAGCCACACUGGAACUGAGACACGGUCCAGACUCCUACGGGAGGCAGCAGUGGGGAAUUUUGGACAAUGGGCGCAAGCCUGAUCCAGCAAUGCCGCGUGAGUGAAGAAGGCCUUCGGGUUGUAAAGCUCUUUUGUCAGGGAAGAAAAGCUAUCCUCUAAUACAGGGUGGUCAUGACGGUACCUGAAGAAUAAGCACCGGCUAACUACGUGCCAGCAGCCGCGGUAAUACGUAGGGUGCAAGCGUUAAUCGGAAUUACUGGGCGUAAAGCGUGCGCAGGCGGUUAUAUAAGUCAGCUGUGAAAUCCCCGGGCUCAACCUGGGAACUGCAGUUGAGACUGUAUGGCUAGAGUGUGUCAGAGGGGGGUAGAAUUCCACGUGUAGCAGUGAAAUGCGUAGAUAUGUGGAGGAAUACCGAUGGCGAAGGCAGCCCCCUGGGAUAACACUGACGCUCAUGCACGAAAGCGUGGGGAGCAAACAGGAUUAGAUACCCUGGUAGUCCACGCCCUAAACGAUGUCUACUAGUUGUUGGGUCUUAAUUGACUUAGUAACGCAGCUAACGCGUGAAGUAGACCGCCUGGGGAGUACGGUCGCAAGAUUAAAACUCAA
rnacentral:rRNA from 1 species